GUUAAAUAUUUAUAUGUUUUAAAGACUACUUUGCAAGGUUAGGUCUAAGAGUUCUGCAGUAAUUCCUAACAGGCACUUCAGCAGAUGCAUUGUCCAGCACUUAAGCUAGGCACAGGGGGAGUCUGUAAAAGAAAAAUAAGAGAAAGAUCUCAGCACUGAGAAAACUUAUCAUCAUUUUUUACUGGAAAGACAGUUCUAAGAAAACAACAGAAGGGAAGACUGUGUAUGAUUAAAUUCCAAAUGACUGCCAGGAAGACUUUCUGUUAAACUAUUUUUAACAAAUUUUUAUUAAGUACUCACUAUCACCCAGGCACUGUUUGCUGUGCUGAAGAUACAAAGAUGAAUGGGAUGUUGUCUCUGCCAUGAAGGAACUUACAAAUCAGUGAAGAAAGACAUUUGUUGAGAAAGGCUUUACAGAGUUGGGUAACAUUAGCCCUGAGUCUGGAAAGUCUUGAAAGUUUGAUAAGCCCUCUCAAAGUACAGAUCAGGAAGAAUGAAAUGAUUUACCCAGAGUAAACAGCUAAGCCAAACCAAUAUGCUGGGAUCUUCACUCCCAGUUCUGUGCUAUUUCUGGGCUGUGGGAUGAAAGGCACACAAAAAAAUUAUAUUCAGAGUUCCCGUCGUGGCUCAGCAGAAACGAAUCUGACUAGCAUCCAUGA